AAGAAAAGAUUGCUCUGUCAGAGUGAGGUAGUAGAUUGUAUAGUUGUGGGGUAGCGAUUUUACCCUAUUAAGGAGAUAACUAUACAAUCUAUUGCCUUCCCUGAGGAGUAGACUUGCUGCUGCAUUGUUU
rnacentral:miRNA from 1 species